AGUGAACGCUGGCGGUAGGCCUAACACAUGCAAGUCGAACGGCAGCACAGUAAGAGCUUGCUCUUACGGGUGGCGAGUGGCGGACGGGUGAGGAAUACAUCGGAAUCUACUUUUUCGUGGGGGAUAACGUAGGGAAACUUACGCUAAUACCGCAUACGACCUACGGGUGAAAGCAGGGGAUCUUCGGACCUUGCGCGAUUGAAUGAGCCGAUGUCGGAUUAGCUAGUUGGCGGGGUAAAGGCCCACCAAGGCGACGAUCCGUAGCUGGUCUGAGAGGAUGAUCCGCCAAACUGGAACUGAGACACGGGCCAGACUCCUACGGGAGGCAGCAGUGGGGAAUAUUGGACAAUGGGCGCAAGCCUGAUCCAGCCAUACCGCGUGGGUUAAGAAGGCCUUCAGGUUGUAAAGCCCUUUUGUUGGGAAAGAAAAGCAGCAGGUUAAUACCCCGCUGUUCUGACGGUACCCAAAGAAUAAGCACCGGCUAACUUCGUG
rnacentral:rRNA from 1 species